GUAGAACUCACCUUAAAAAUCGGCUUGAAACGGGAGGGUGUUUAGGGACUUAUUAACCACUCACCAAUGUUGUUCCUUAGCAACGUAGGAUUAUAACACAAUAUCAAUCCACAAUACGCUUUGUGCAAUGACAAGGAACAAGUGAUCCAUGAUAACACCAUGGUAUUACACCUCUCCUAGACAGAAAGCAGAGGAUCAUUCUCAUUAGCUUCUUCAGUAAUCCAUCAAUGAACUUCGUCUUAUUCUUAAAUUACAGCACCAUUGUCAUGACCCUCGCUGUAGCAGUGUUGUUAAAGGCGCUGGAGGCACCAAGGCGAGUCGCCCCUCUAGCACCUCGCCUAGCACUGCCUGGCCUACCUUCAAUAAGCAAGCGCCUCUAGCAAGCGAAGCGAGGGGCUCUGAGGCGCUGAGGUGACGCCUCUUUGAAGUAAAG
rnacentral:misc_RNA from 1 species